rnacentral:rRNA from 1 species
GACGUAGGAUGCAAGCGUUGUCCGGAUUUAUUGGGCGUAAAGAGUUCGUAGGUGGUUUGUUAAGUCUGAUGUUAAAGACCGGGGCUCAACCUCGGAAGUGCAUUGGAUACUGGCAGACUCGAGUAUGGUAGAGGCGAGUGGAAUUCCCAGUGUAGCGGUGAAAUGCGUAGAUAUUGGGAAGAACACCGGUGGCGCAAGCGACUCGCUGGGCCAUUACUGACACUGAGGAACGAAAGCUAGGGGAGCGAAUGGG